AUUGAACGCUGGCGGCAUGCUUUACACAUGCAAGUCGAACGGGGGCGGGGGCAACUCCGCUUCAGUGGCGAACGGGUGAGUAAUGCAUCGGAACGUGUCCGGGAGUGGGGGAUAACGCCGCGAAAGCGGCGCUAAUACCGCAUAUUCUGUACGCAGGAAAGCGGGGGACCGCAAGGCCUCGCGCUCGCGGAGCGGCCGAUGUCCGAUUAGCUUGUUGGUGGGGUAAUGGCUUACCAAGGCGACGAUCGGUAGCUGGUCUGAGUGGAUGAUAAGCCACACUGGGACUGAGACACGGCCCAGACUCCUACGGGAGGCAGCAGUGGGGAAUUUUGGACAAUGGGGGAAACCCUGAUCCAGCCAUGCCGCGUGCGGGAAGAAGGCCUUCGGGUUGUAAACCGCUGUCGUAGGGGAGGAAGGUUCCGUGAAGAGCGGGACUUGACCUAUCCUAGGAGGAAGUACGGGCUAAGUUCGUGCCAGCCGCCGCGGUAAUAC
rnacentral:rRNA from 1 species